AUUGAACGCUGGCGGCAUGCCUUACACAUGCAAGUCGAACGGCAGCACGGGAGCAAUCCUGGUGGCGAGUGGCGAACGGGUGAGUAAGGUAUCGGGACGUGCCCAGUCGUGGGGGCUAACGUAGCGAAAGUUACGAUAAUACCGAAUACGAUCUAUGGAUGAAAGCGGGGGAUAGCAAGACCUCGCGCGAUUGGAGCGCCCGAUAUCAGAUUAGGUAGUUGGUGGGGUAAAGGCUCACCAAGCCGACGAUCGGUAGCUGGACUGAGAGGACGACAAGCCACACUGGGACUGAGACACGGCCCAGACUCCGACGGGAGGCAGCAGUGGGGAAUUUUGGACAAUGGGCGAAAGCCUGAUCCAGCCAUGCCGCGUGCAGGAUGAAGGCCUUCGGGUUGUAAACUGCUUUUGUACGGAACGAAAAGGUUUGGCCUAAUAAGCUGAGCUCAUGACGGUACCGUAAGAAUAAGCACCGGCUAACUACGUGCCAGCAGCCGCGGUAA
rnacentral:rRNA from 1 species